rnacentral:rRNA from 1 species
ACCUUCUUUUCCAAUUGGUUAAGGGUCUUGGGAUAUUUAGGGUUAAGUGUCCUUAUGUUUGAAUAGUACUGGGCUGGGUGACCUCUCGGGAAGUUCAAACUCAGAAGCUU